GGGGAAUAUUGGACAAUGGGCGAAAGCCUGAUCCAGCCAUGCCGCGUGUGUGAAGAAGGUCUUCGGAUUGUAAAGCACUUUAAGUUGGGAGGAAGGGCAGUAAAUUAAUACUUUGCUGUUUUGACGUUACCGACAGAAUAAGCACCGGCUAACUCUGUGCCAGCAGCCGCGGUAAUACAGAGGGUGCAAGCGUUAAUCGGAAUUACUGGGCGUAAAGCGCGCGUAGGUGGUUCGUUAAGUUGGAUGUGAAAUCCCCGGGCUCAACCUGGGAACUGCAUUCAAACUGACGAGCUAGAGUAUGGUAGAGGGUGGUGGAAUUUCCUGUGUAGCGGUGAAAUGCGUAGAUAUAGGAAGGAACACCAGUGGCGAAGGCGACCACCUGGACUGAUACUGACACUGAGGUGCGAAAGCGUGGGGAGCAAAACAGGAUUAGAUACCCUGGUAGUCCACGCCGUAAACGAUGUCAACUAGCCGUUGGGAGCCUUGAGCUCUUAGUGGCGCAGCUAACGCAUUAAGUUGACCGCCU
rnacentral:rRNA from 1 species